UCCACAGAUACAAAUAGCGUUUCGGUAUUAUGGUGAGCAGUAAAGCAUCAGCCUCCAAGCUUGUUUACAUCAACCAAUAGUUUGGAAAGAACACAGCAAAGAAAUGAGGAAGAAGAGCAAUUGGAGAUUGAAGAGUUCUCUAUACAAGGGGUAUCCUACAUUACUCAGAUGUGAAGCGGUUUACUGAACUUUUCAACAAUCGGAGUAAGUUGAAAUGAUACUGAUCUCAUA
rnacentral:lncRNA from 1 species